ensembl:misc_RNA
GGGCGACAGGGCUGUGACACAUCACCCCACUCACCGGCAGGGCACAUUUGGCUGACAUGAUUGGCUAGGCAGGCGUCCCACUCUGCCC